AUUGAACGCUGGCGGCAGGCCUAACACAUGCCAGUCGAACGGUAACAUAAAGCAGCUUGCUGCUUUGCUGACGAGUGGCGGACGGGUGAGUAAUGUCUGGGAAACUGCCUGAUGGAGGGGGAUAACUACUGGAAACGGUAGCUAAUACCGCAUAACGUCGCAAGACCAAAGAGGGGGACCUUCGGGCCUCUUGCCAUCGGAUGUGCCCAGAUGGGAUUAGCUAGUAGGUGGGGUAACGGCUCACCUAGGCGACGAUCCCUAGCUGGUCUGAGAGGAUGACCAGCCACACUGGAACUGAGACACGGUCCAGACUCCUACGGGAGGCAGCAGUGGGGAAUAUUGCACAAUGGGCGCAAGCCUGAUGCAGCCAUGCCGCGUGUAUGAAGAAGGCCUUCGGGUUGUAAAGUACUUUAAGCGGGGAGGAAGGGAGUAAAGUUAAUACCUUUGCUCAUUGACGUUACCCGCAGAAGAAGCACCGGCUAACUCCGUG
rnacentral:rRNA from 1 species